UAUCCUGUGACCAAAGUGAAAUGAAGCUGGACCUUGAGUUUGCUUAUACCUGUGACUAUAAAAGUUCAGUUCCAUCACUGCUCACAACCAAGAGGACAGCCUGGCAACAGAACAGGGCAGUCACACAGUAAUGUAUAUAUGUAUUUACUUUGGUGGAAAAGCAUUAUCACUAGGUAAAAUAAACAUCACACAAAGCAUGAACCAAGAACACACUUCUACUUGUUCCCCAGUGAAGUUUUCAUUUUCUCAUUCCUAGAAAGGAAAACACCAACACUGAAACUCGUCGGUUUCCAGUCUUCCUUGGAACCAUUCAGCACUGUCGGCCUGGCCAGGUGGAGUGUGGGCCUUGACUCUGUGCCUCUCUAUUCCUCUGCUGUAAUCUCCUGUGGCUGGGACCCUGCUACUCACAUUCCAUCUUCAUGCCCAUCUCCAGGCACUUCUUUAGCCGGCAGAACUGGCAGCGGUUGCGGUGAUGCUUGUUAAUGAUGCAAUCCUGGUUGCUUCGGCAGCUGUAGGUCAGAUUCUUCCUUACACUCCUUUUAAAAAAACCUUUGCAACCUUCACAACUGACAGCUCCAUAGUGACGGCCUGAAGGGAGGUCAUGCCAUUGGUCCAUGGCAUGCACCAGAGGUUGGGGUCACAUACCAGAGGCUUUGUCACCACAGACCACACAGUACUCCACCACCUGGGGCCGCUGGACGUCUGCCUUCCCCAGCAAACGCUCCACAGAAGCAGAAUCCGUGACGAUCUAAGAGAAAUCAACAAACACUGCCAAAUAAAAACCAGUUCACCAAG